AACCAUAGAAACCUGCGGAGUACCUGCGGAGGGAUCAUUAUAAAAAUAUGGUCAAACCAUUCUCCUGUGAUUUACGUAAUUGUGUAUACUUUGGCAGGCUUUGGGUCGUUAUCGAUUCAUCUUCUACGUUCGUGUGUAUAUGCGAAUGUCUGAAGCUGGCCUGCCAAAGGUUUUCAAUAAACACACACGUUUAAACUACAGUCUGAAAAUCUCUUCCGAGAGAAUAAAAACAAAUGUAAA
rnacentral:misc_RNA from 1 species